GGGCCCGCACAAGCGGUGGAGCAUGUGGUUUAAUUCGAUGAUACGCGAGGAACCUUACCAGGGCUUAAAUGUAAGUUGCAUAGAUCAGAGAUGGUCUUUUCUUCGGACUACUUACAAGGUGCUGCAUGGUUGUCGUCAGCUCGUGCCGUGAGGUGUCAGGUUAAGUCCUAUAACGAGCGCAACCCCUGUCGUUAGUUGCCAGCAAGUUAAGUUGGGCACUCUAGCGAGACUGCCAGUGCAAACUGUGAGGAAGGUGGGGAUGACGUCAAAUCAUCACGGCCCUUACGUCCUGGGCUACACACGUGCUACAAUGGCCGGUACAGAGAGCAGCCACUACGCGAGUAGGAGCGAAUCUAUAAAACCGGUCUCAGUUCGGAUCGCAGUCUGCAACUCGACUGCGUGAAGCUGGAAUCGCUAGUAA
rnacentral:rRNA from 1 species